GCAAAGAUGGAGAAACGGCCCAAACGAAAGGGGGGCGCUGAAAAAUUGCGCGAAAAAAGGCUUAAAAGCCUGCAAGUCGAUGCAGCAAAAUGCAGCAAAAUAAGUGACAUGUUUGCCGUUGCUUCCACUAGUUCACCUGCGGCAGCGACUGCUGCUGCCAUGAUAGAAAAAGAAGCCGAAGUUCAGGGGGAGUCUGAGGAAAAGGAGUAGGAGGAGAAGGAGGAGGAGGACGGAGGGAGAGACGUGACACAGCAGGGACAGAUCGAGGAGGGCAUAUUUGGAGUGAAGGUCUACCUUUCCCUGAUGUGGAGUUUACAUGUUUUCCUUUUCUAUCAUUAGCAGCAAGGUCCAUGCAGCCUUUUGUCUCAGCAUAUGUUCCAUUUUGGUGAAGAGCUCCACUUUUAAUUCAAGUUUCCCAGAGACUAUGGGUUGAGGAGGAAUUGGAAGUUUGUCGGCUUAGACCUGGUGUCAUUCCAUCAGUGUUAAACUUCCCAGCUCAUCUUGGAAGAGCACGUGCCAGAAAGACCACGACCAAGCAGCCUUGAGAUCUUAGACAGCGUCUCCCUCAGGUCCCUCUCUAUCUCCCCACACAUCCACCAACCACUGGAACACAUCUCCAAAGUUCUGCCGGGCCAGCUCAGCUUCCCCUCAGAAGUGCCGCCACCUGCCAGAUGAAGGAGCCUUUUGAGAGGCAGCUGGCAUCGUGAUUGGACUGUACUUUGGUCUGUUCCAAUCCAGCUUCAGCUCCAGAGACGGCAGGCGGGACGAGUCAACGGAGGCCGGGUGGACGAAGACCAAAGAACUACAGAUUAUUCACAACCUGCUCAAACUCUUGGUACAGGAC
ensembl:lncRNA